GAUAAGUAAUGUGAAUUGCAGAAUUCAGUGAACCAUCGAAUCUUUGAACGCACAUUGCGCCCCUUGGUAUUCCGAGGGGCAUGCCUGUUCGAGCGUCAUUACACCACUCAAGCUAUGCUUGGUAUUGGGUGCCGUCCUUAGUUGGGCGCGCCUUAAAGACCUCGGCGAGGCCUCACCGGCUUUAGGCGUAGUAGAAUUUAUUCGAACGUCUGUCAAAGGAGAGGACUUCUGCCGACUGAAACCUUUUAUAUUUUUUCUAGGUUGACCUCGGAUCAGGUAGGGAUACCCGCUGAACUUAAGCAUAUCAAUAAGCGGAGGAAA
rnacentral:rRNA from 1 species